rfam:Arabis alpina cultivar Pajares scaff_49163_1_contig_0, whole genome shotgun sequence.
AAUCCGUGAUGAGGACAGUCUCUCUGAUAUCCCUUGAAUCUUUCCCAUGCAGUCUUGAAAGAUUCUGUCUGAUUUUGAACGAAUGUGGAGAUCUUAGCUCGUAGAUC